GCUGACCAAAGAGGCCAGGGUGAUCAAAGAUAACCCAGCUCUUCAGGACAAGUCGGCACCAAAGAAGGAGGAGCUCGUCAGGCAAAACGCUCUUGCUGUGGUCCGUCAGAGAAUAGGGGAUACCUCUGACAAAACAAGUACAAGGCAAAAUCUUUCCGAUGGCUUCUUGAAAAUGACACAGGUUACACCAUCUACCUACUAAAGAACCUUCAGCAGGAAGAGGCCAUGGGGGUCUUUACGGCAGAAGGACCCAGCGAGAGCAGUCUGUUAUCCUUUUCUAAUUAUGCCCGCAGUUUUAACGAAAUUCAGUCUCUUCCCAGUUAUUUGUCCCUAAAUCCAAGUGCACCAGCAGCCUCGUCGGAGGGUGACCAGCUGGUUGGUUUCGGUGCUCAUGUAUGUGGAAAGAUUUGGAACAACAGGGCUGAUGGUUAUGCAUCCUUUAUAUUGGGGGCAACUUAUGUCCCAGAAACACGGAUGUACAAGCUGCAGCAAUACCUGUGAAAUCAGAUGCAGACUGCCCAUGGUUGCCUCAAGUACAGCGUCUAAGCCAACAGAAAUGGAUGAUGACGGGUUAUGGAGUGCGCUGCUGAACUUCUCCCCCUCCAAGCUACUGUACAAGGUAUUUUAGAACAUACAAAGUGGCAAAUAUAUACUGGACGUGGCAAAUUGGUAAGAGUCACACAUUUAGAUUUACCAUCUGAAAUUAUUUGACCAACUUUUCCAAGGACAUGGCUACAUGGGAUGCUGCUGGGAGGCCGGUGCCACUCUAAUCCUUACAACCCCAAGUCUGAUCUUAACUCUGAAAGCUCUGUUACUUUACUACUACAUAUUUAAUGGAUUAUAUGUAUCUCAUCCAUGUUGUGUGACAGCAGAGUGUCAGCAAGAAUCAAAGGAAAGGUGUACAAGACUGUACUGAGACCAGCUUUGUUGUAUGGGUUAGAGACUGUAGCAGUGAGGAAAAGACACAAGGUAGAGAUGACAGUAGCAGACAUGAGGAUGUUGAGGUUCUCUUUAGGAGUGACGAGGAUGGACAGUAUUAGGAACGAGCACAUCAGAGGGACAGCUCAGGUUGGCUGUUUUGGGGACAACAUCAGAGACGCUAGAUU